rnacentral:rRNA from 11 species
UGCAGCCUAAAUACCUUGAAGGCAUCAGAUCUCAUCUGAUUUCAGAAGCUUAGCAGGGUCAGGCUUGGUUAGUCCUGAGUAGGGAGUCCUCCACAAAUAUCAGGCAAGAUAAGCUGUAU